CCCGGGCGGCGGGAGCGGCGCUCGGAGAGGACGGACGCGGGGGGAUUGUCGCCGGCGAGACCGGCGCCAUCUUAGGUCGGAGCGUGGCCUGGCGUCCCCGAGCGGGGCCCCCGCGCUGUGAGGGCCCCCACGAGCCGCCCGCGGGGCCCGCUGGCACCGGACGGUUCUGCCCUCGAGGGCGGCCCGGGCAGGGCUCGCUCCGCCCGCAGUUGGCCGCGUGGGGCCCUCUAAGGGCCCCGGGCGUUAACAGCAAGAGCGGCGCUGGCGGCGCGGCUCAGCUCGGCCUCCUCCCCGCCGGCCGCGGUUCUGCCGUGCGGGCCUCGCCCAAACCGGAGCCCCCAGCUCGAGCCGAAUGCCGGCGGUCACCGGCGCGGGACGCGGGGCGGUCAGGCUGCAGCGGCAGCUGUUCGGCUGCCCUCGGGACUCGUCUGCUCCCACGGCCUGGUACCACCGCGGCUCGGCGGCGUGAGCUGCUGGCGGGCUGGCACCGCCGAUAUUGCCCAUCCCUAGGCGGAGCUUGUGCUUUCUCAUGGCACAGAGGGCAGCGUUGGCUGCUGAGUCUCAAGAUGGCAGAAUUAUUUAUGGAAUGUGAAGAAGAGGAGCUAGAACCCUGGCAAAAGAGAGUGAGAGAAGUGGAAGAGGAUGAUGAGGACGAUGAUGAUGAGCCAAUCUUUGUUGGGGAAAUCUCCAGCUCAAAGCCAGCCACUACAUAUAUAUUGAACAGAGUCAACCUCAGCUCACCACGAAGGGGGAUACAGAAUGGUGCACCCAGUAGAGGUACAGUCACUGCAUUCAAGUCUGAGAGUCAGCAUUAUGUGACACCUGCCUCCAGCCCCGGAGCCCUGCCUGCCCAGUCAGUCUUUCAGACUGUGCCCAGACCUGUGACCAGCUCAGUGGCAGUUCAGCCAUUGGCUGUAGUAGUGAAUGUUUCAGGAACUUCACAAACACUGCAAAGACCAGUUGCUGGGUGUUUGUCAACACAGCAGGUGCCUGGGUCAAGUUCUGGAAUAGCACAGCCUGUUAGCAGACCCGUAACCAUUCCAGUGACAACACAGCCAGUAUCAAGAAAUAUUACAGUUCCUGUAGUGGCUCAACCUAUAUCCAGGCCAGAGACUCCUGCAACAGCACAGCCUGUAAUACUCAAUCAGGAUUAUAUUAUGGACUCUCCACCAGAUGCACCAGAUAAUACAUCUGGUAUACUGUUUGGUGUGAGACAGAACUCGGGAGUUCCACAGUACCAGACUGGGCCAGCAGUGAAUGUUACAGAGACAAAUGCUGCAUCGAGUACCAUUAAAAAUGGUGGACCUUUUCCACGAGCUUGUCCAAAAUGUAAUAUACAUUUCAAUCUUAUGGAUCCUCUAAAAAAUCACAUGAAGUACUGUUGUCCAGAUAUGGUAAAUACCUUUUUCUCAGAAAUGGUCAAAACAGAGUGUUUGAGCACAAGCAAGACCACUGAAUCUGAGAAAGGAAAGCUGAUUAUGUUAGUUAAUGACUUUUAUUAUGGGAAGGAUGAAGGUGACCUCCAGCAGGUACAACAGGAGCAGAAGACUCAUACGACAUUUAAAUGCAUCAGUUGUCUCAAAGUUCUUAAAAAUAAUAUAAGGUUUAUGAACCACAUGAAACAUCACUUGGAGCUUGAGAAGCAAAGCAAUGAAAGCUGGGAAAGCCACACCACGUGCCAGCACUGUUACCGACAGUUCCCCACGCCGUUCCAGCUGCAGUGCCACAUCGAGAGUACACACACGCCUUACGAGUCGUCCACGAUUUGUAAAAUCUGUGAAUUAUCAUUUGAAACAGAGCAAGUUCUUUUGCAACAUAUGAAGGACAAUCAUAAGCCAGGUGAAAUGCCGUAUGUUUGCCAGGUGUGCAGCUACAGAUCCUCAGCUUUUUCAGAUGUAGAAACACAUUUUAGAACAGUUCAUGAAAACACAAAACAUUUGCUAUGCCCAUUUUGCCUCAAAGUUAUUAAAAUUGGAGCGCCGUAUAUGCAUCAUUACAUGAGGCAUCAGAAAAAAGGAGUAUACCGUUGCACUAAAUGCAGACUGCAAUUUUUAACAUGCAAAGAAAAAAUGGAUCACAAGACUCAGCAUCACCGAACGUUUAGGAAACCCAAGCAAUUAGAAGGCUUGCCUCCUGGAACAAAGGUGACUAUUCGAGCAUCUUUGGGAUCUCAUCAGUCAGGAUCAUCAGCUACAUCUUCUGUUAGUACAAGCAGUUCUACAUUUCAGUUAUCACCUAAAGCUAAAAAUACAACCACUAAAAAUCAUAACAAAUCUAAUACAAGUAAAUCAAGAGGAAAAUCAAAACAAUCUACAUCGAGGAAACAAAAUGCAUGGACGAACAGCAGAAGAAAAAAAGAACCUACAAAUAUAGCAUUUCAUAAUCUAAGGUAUCAUGUGGGAACCCACAAAUGCAUUGAGUGUUUCUCAGAAAUAAAAGAUUUUGCAAGUCACUUUCCUGCAUACGUCCACUGUAGUUUGUGCAGAUACAACACCAGCUGUAGCAAAGCCUAUGUGAAUCACAUGAUGAGUUUUCACAGUGCUCGUCCAAGUAAAAGGUUUUGGAUCUUUAAGAAGCAUUCAGAACAGCUACGAGGUGUGACUGUAGUGUGUCUAAACUGUGAUUUCCUGGCUGAUGUUUCUGGCUUGGAUAACAUGGCCACACAUCUGAGUGAGAACCAGACUCAUACAUGUCAAGUUAUUGUAGAGGAAGUUUCCACAGAUAAUGCAACUGCUGCACAAGUGUCUCAGGCAGUUGAAAGUGAGCAGGUAUCCUAUACUGCCUUGGCUCACUGAUACAUCAUUGUGGACCAGAAAAUUGAACCCAGUCCAGCUUGGGAUUAUUUUGGUUUCUGACAACAAGAAGAAUGGAAUGUGAUUGCAGGUUUUUGUGGCUUUCAGAAACAUUCUCUUGAGAAUUUCCCAGAGGUGACACUAGAUAAACACUUGGAUUUAAAGUUAUGUGAAUUCUGUGUCUUUUAAAUGCUUAUUUGGAAUAUUGUCCUUCAGUUCUUUUGCAGCUUUGCUUCAGAAAUUUAAGUUUGAAACUUGCAUUUUGAGCACUUCUUAGGAUACUUGCAGACAUGAGAGAUUUGUGGAGAUGGUUCAUGUAGAAUCAAUUGGCCUUGUGACAUCCUGUUUCCAUUUGUGUGGGAAUCUUGGGAAAGUUACUCAUGUGGAAAACUCAUAAAAGCACUUCUAAAUCAUUAAAAUAAACCUGCCUGACUUAGUAUUAAAUCUCUCUUAUGAUCCCAACAAUUUACAUGAAUAAUGCAACAUAUUGGACCAUAUCUGCAAGGGCAGAGCAUGAAUAUGCAUGAUAUAACCAGCUUAGCUUAUGGUCAAAGAAUUAAGAUUUCAUUUGUAUAUAGCUUAACCUAUAUUUUUUUUUUUUAUUUUUAGGACAUUGAGUGUCACUGCUUGACUAGCCAGUGUUUUAUCUUUGUUUGAAAGGUCAUACAAACAAAGUAAAUGUUUGUUUCUGUUAUUCUGUUAAAUGUAACUGCACAGCAUUUAAAGUUAUAUCUGUCAAAAAAGGGAAUUUUUGCAAGAAGGUGGGAUUAGUUAAAAAAAAAAGCCAACACCUAAAAAUCCCAAACCCAAAGACCUUUCCCUUCUUUUGGGUAUAAAUAAAUUUAAAUUUUUUAAUGCUGCGUGUGAUUCAGUUGAGCGUCUGGAAGAUACCUUGAGCCACUUAAAGUUAAUUUCUAGAAAUUCUUGAAGCUACAGUCAUCCCAGAAAAGUUUACUUUUGGUUAGGUGUGGACAAAAAAGAAAUGUUUGGCAAAAGAUUCCAGCUGAGUUUGUUCUGCUUACCCAGUGAGCCUGAGAGAUUGCUGGGAAGAUGGUGGCUUAUGAUUUGAGCUUUGUGUGUGUGUGCAAAUAGAUACAAUUUUACUGUGUGAGAGCUAUUUGUGCUUAACUGCAUUUUAGAGCCUAGCUUUUGUUACUGGCUCCAGAUCUCUUCCAUUAAUCCUAGGUAUCUCUUCAUCUCUCAAAUAAAGUCUCAGAUGAAACUGAAUGUAGACUUCAACGUGUCUAAAAUAAUGUUCUUGCUUGACUUUUACACUGAGUCACUUUGAUUUUAUGGCUGAUCCAUUCUGUUGGCUAUCUCAAGGUGAAAUUUUGUGCUCAGCUGCUCCUUUUUUAUGGGCAAUUUUUUUAAGGAUUGACAAUUAAAGGGCAUUUUUUUUCCUUGUUCUUAACUAGAAGUUCAUGUAGAGUGAAGAAUUUUUGGAGAGUUCUAGAAAGGUUUCAGAGUUACUUAAAACUGUUAGACCAACACGCUGGACUUACUGGAGGUGGUCACAAUCUUUGGUUUAUUUUCAUAAUGUUCUUUCCAGAAGCACUGUGACCUCACAGAUAGGAGAAAGUAUUGCCUUCAUUGAUGUUUGAGAUCUAUGGGAUUUAAGAUUUCUUGUGUCAUAGAAGUGUUGGGAACAUCACAAGGUGAUAAUUUUCUAUGGUUUAGUGUGUAUUCGUGCAACUUCUGCCAAUCACAAAUUAGAAGGAACUCCUUUGUAAAACUAUACCUAAACAAAAUUAAGUUUGAGAGUAUACAUCAUGAUUCCAAAGUAAACCAAAAUAACAAAGAUGUGGUUACAACAAAAUGUUACAAAUUCUGCUCAUUUCCAAACCAACAUAAAUGAACCAGUUUGAAUCUACUCUGUAAGAUAUAAAACAUGAGCACAAAAAUCUCUCAAAUUUGAUCAUAUGAAAUAACAUUUAUAAUGGAUUUUAAAUAAUCUAUAGAUAUAGGAUCCAAUUCACACACAUUUAAUUUAGUGGCAAAACUUGAAUUUAUUGAGACAAGAACAACAAUAUGUUUUGUCCUUGGAUAUGCAAUAUCUGAUCUAUUCAUGUCUAAGUUAGUGAGUCUAACAUGAGGGACUGUUUUAUGACAAAUGGCAAUUUCCAACGUAGUAGUUUUAAGUUCUUGCAUAUAAAUCAGUAAAGCUAAAUAUUUGGCAUUGCAUCAUCUUAUACUGAUAUGGCUUCUCUUGAUUAAACACUUCAGAGUAUUUAAAGUCCUGACCCAAAAAAUGUGUUCGCAUUUGGUUUAUCCUGAUUAUUUCUCUGUUAAUUACAAGAGUAUUUUUACAGUGCUACUGAAACCAAUCCUUUUUUGUAGAUAUUUUUGCCAUCUAUUGUUGUAGAUUAGGAUGUAAUAAAUAAUAAUAUGUGAUUGUUUAUGCUAUAGUUUGAUGCUGGGUAGCUGCUGGAACAUUAAUGUUGGAAAGUAUUCAUGGUGUGCUGCUACUAUAUGCUUAAACUCUUUUAAAGGUCUGGGGUUAGACUGCUUUUUUGGAUUUAGGAAAAUACAUGUGGUUGAUCAAUCUAAUAUUAGUAUACAGUUUUCAUAAAAUUUAAGUGGUAAAGCUGUUUUUUGUGUCAAGUAUUUUGCACCCUGUAGACAACCAUUAAGACUCGCUGAGGUUGUGAAUAAUUUAAUUUAUGAUUAAUAACAUUAUCUAAAUAUAAGAGAGGCAGCACCAUACUUCAGCAGAUUAAAUUUGCCUUUAAUGCAACAUCAACAAAGAAGAUUUAGGCAUAAGCAGUUUUGAGGGGUUUGUUUGCUUUUUCUUUUUUUCUGUAAGAAACCUUUGAAAGGUUAGAUUUUGUUGGAACUGAUGACUUAACAAGUUUGUAGGAGAGACUUCUUGCUAUCUCUGCGAUAACAUUUUCUUACAGAAACACAGAAAAUCAAUUUUGGUGAUGUUGUGAUAAGCUGUUUAAUUAAUGUGGUUUUCAAAGUCAAUAAAUUUAAAUAAUUUAUAGCUCAUCUAAUGUAUGGACUGUGCCUCUAAAGGUAUUUUGCAGGAAGCAUCCCCUCCAGAUAGUAGUUGGAGGUCAGCUGCAAUGUUUUACAGUUGUCCUAAAGUCAACUACAGCUCUGUUCUGGGGGUGUGGGUUAUGGUAAACAAAUAGAAGUAAACUGAGCUUAUAUUGGGGAAUGUUUUUGUCAGGUAGCUUUAUGCACUCAAUUUAGCAUUUCAGAUUUUAAAAUACUUUGGUCACGGUUUAAAAGGCCUUUCUGGUAUGGAGAUCAUUCCUCAGGUAGAAUCAGAACAGAAGUAAUGCUCACUAUCUUAAGACUGUUGGUUCCUGGUUUUCCUGAGACAAGAUAACUGGAAGAGCUUACAUGAAAAAAAUUUAUCUUACAAUUUCUGUAUACCCAAUAAAACACUUCAGAAUUCUGAAGUGAAGUAUGUUUAAGCUCAGCAUAAGUAUUAACUUUAAAAAUCAGUUACAGAUUACCAAAUUGCUUUCUAACUGUAAGUAUCAUCAUCCUUAUCUCUAUUUCAACCCUACAGUAUUUUCAAACAUUGAAUCUUAAUUCAUUAUCCACACCGAAAUCUCCAUUAGAGAGAAAGAAGCUAGGCUGGGGAUAAUGUCUUGUCUUUCCUCCUCAUAUAAGAGUAUCUCUGACCUUAGUAUCUAGUGUGAAGAUACAAGACAAUUCUGUUUUUAUCAUGCAUAAAUUACUGGUCAUGGUGUUCAGAGGGUCUGCAUAGUAUAAGAAUUCAGUUUUGUGUGUCUUGCUGCAGAAAGCUGGGCUGUGUCAGAGGCACACCUUUGGUGGGGCUGCCACAGCAGAGAUGUGCAGUUUAUAGUCAGUCCCUUGGGCUGACUAUUGAAUGCCAGCCUCCAAUGAAGGAAUGGUUUGCUUUCCUUAUGUAUCUUCAUAUUCAGGGAACCUGGAAAUUGGUCACUGUGAGAUCUGGGUUAAUAUUGACUCUGAACUGUAAUUUUUGGAGGCCUGUCAGAAUCUAAGUGAUCUUUUCUUUGUCGCCAUCAUUAUUUUAGCAAACAAGAGCAUGACUCUUCAGAUGAAACAAAAGAAUGCAGUAGAAAUCAAACUAAAAAAGUUGCAUCCGUUGAAAAGAGGGAAGACUCAUCACUGUCAAAUACAGAAAAUGUCCGUAGUUUGGAACUCCCUGGC